rnacentral:rRNA from 1 species
CAUAACGACUCUCGGCAACGGAUAUCUCGGCUCUC